UGUGUGUAACGAGCUCAUGCCCCUGCAGACCCACACAGAAACACUUCAACACUUGGUUCAGGGAGGCAAGCAGAGACAUGCAGUGUGGGUGGGAAGAGGUCUGAGUAGGUGGGAGGAGUGUCUUCCUUUCUCAUUCAUAUGACGAAAUACCCUGACAGAGACAACUUAAGGGAGAAAGGGGCUUGUUCUGGCUUGUAGUCCCAGAGGACUAUAGUCCAUCAUAGCAUGAUAAGCAUGGCAGUAGGCUGGCUAGUCAGACUGCAGCCAUACUCAGGAAGCAGAGAUAGAUGAAUGACAGAUGACAGGUGCUCAGCUCAUUUUCUCCUUUUCACAAAUAUAAUCUGGGAUCCCAGGCUAGGGAAUGGUGGUGCCCACUGUGGGCAGGUCUUUCCAUCUCAACCUAAUCAAGGUAACCUUAAUAGGCAUGGCUGGAAGCCUGACCUCCAGGUGGCCUUGUGUUGUCAAGUUGACCAUUUAGAUUGACAAGACACUGAUGUAUUUGAUCAGACCUGACACUAUGUCAGGCAGAGAGCAUGAAGGCCAGUGCUGUUACUUAUUGGGUUUGUAGCAUUGGGCAAGUUACUCAACAUCUCUAGACCUGUUUGUUCUUCUGUAAAAUGGGGAGUAUUUAUGGGACAUGAGUAACAUUUUUGUUACAAGUAUCGAGUUAAGUAUUCAUGUGUCCACAGUAACCCUUGUAAAAGUAACUUUUAUUCAAACUGUCUUCUCUUAGCUACUCAUCGAAUUGUUCUGCUUGGAAAAACUGCCUCUGAAUUCCAAUAACUAAACUACACUGACUUUGUAACUGAAUGGAACUCAAUGGAACUUCCCAAACUCAACUGAACUCCAGUCAGAGGGAUUAAAGAUGAAGAUGCCUUUAGGGUCUGAGUCACAGACCAUGGCUGUCCUGCUCAUCAGAGAAUUCGAGGGAAGAGACUUGCUGAUAGCAAUGGGUAAGUGAGAUCCAGGAUUGUAGGCCUAGGAUGACCCGGGCUAAGGGCACGAGCUUGCUAAUUAUGCAAAAUUCAUCCAAAAUCCUGGCAGCUUUACCCGGGUCUAAAUGAUACCUCAUUUUGGUAUCACUUGAAAUGUUAGAUGAGUUAAUAUGUACACAGUUCUCAGUACAGUACUUGUUGAAUAAACAACCCAGAAACCAGAGUGGCUGUUGUGAUUGAGAGAGACUUGGGGGCCAGCUUUUCUUCUUUAGCAUCAUUCAGUAUACUAUCCUUCAACAUGUUAGUCAAACUAUAGCCCACAGAUCAAAUACAGGCCUCUGCAUGUGAGCCAAGAAUGUUUCUUUCAUUUCUAAGUGGUUGCAAGGUGAUCAAAAGAAGGCUAUUUUGUGACUUAUGCAAAUGACAGGAAAUUCAACCUUCGGUGUCCAUAAAUAACAUUCUGUUGGAACCCGGCCACACCCAUCAGCUCUGCCCUGACUAUGGCUCUUGCUGGGUCGUAAGCGCAAGAGGAAAUUGCAGUAGCAGUGAGCAGAUGGCCUGGCCAGCCAAACACCCUACUGGCCUUUACCUCAAGUAUGCAGAGUAGGCUUUAGGGAGUCCUAGGCACAGAGCAAAGAUGAGAUGUUGUUUCUCUUCACAGAUCCAGAGAGGGUUCAGCUCUCUGUCCCUCGGCAUGGGCUUUGCGUGGCUUUUGCUAAUGGGACCAUUUGUCUAAACUGUCUCCUCACCUUCCAUGGGUCAAAGCGGAGUUGUUAAUGCUUAGGAAUCAGCAUCCUGAAAGAAGAAGGCCAGCAUUUCACGUCAGCCGGAUUUUGUGUUUGAAUACAUCCACAAUGGUUGAUCUGAAGUUUACCAAUUUUCAUGCCAACUGCCUUUUUAAAAAAAAAUAAAUCCUUAUUACUUUGAACAUCGGUUCUGGUGAGGUAACCAGACCCACAGCACUUGGCCCCUGCUCCUAGCCUUGCUACUGCUCUGAUGUCUGUGCUCAAUGCACAAGGAAGUAAUGAUUAGUUGGGGGAGGGGGUAUUGAUUUAUUCUUCUGUCAGAGUCUUAGCUCAGAAUGUGUUAUUUCAAAAUAGUCACCGCACGUGAGGGAUUCGACACAGAGGGAAGCUGACACCAGAGGUAGAAACCACUAGGAACGAAGAAGACUGAGCCCUGGAGAAAGAUCUGACACAUGUAGUUUUUUUUUCGUUGUUGUUGUUGUUUUUGUUUUUAAUUUUAAUAGCCUAGUGAGUGUCACAGAGCCUACUGAUUUGUCUGUUUUAUCCAUAAUCUUCUGACUUAGCUAUUCUCUGAGCACGGCUGAAGUGAGGAACAGAGGGUAUCUAAGGUGAGUUUCUAGCCAAGGAAAAUAAUAGCUAAUGCUAAGGUGUGGGGUGACUGUCUCUGAAUCCCCUCCCUCCUCUGGGUUUGCCACGGGAUCCAUCUUUCAUCUCUGGCUUUACGUUUGGGACGAGCUGAGUCGCUCUUUCUGUGUUGAUUACACUCGGUGCCCGAGGCUAGGUCUACCGUAUUCCUCCAGUGCAUAACACGAGGCUAUCACAGAGCAAGUGUCUAACAAACGGAGCUCAGCGCACUGCACCCGGUCUAACUCACAGCUCUCUUGUCUCACAGGCAAUUUUAGGGACCCCAAGAGAGAGGUUUAUCUCCAUAAAGCAAGCCCUUCCGGGGUCCCACAAAGUCUGUAUGAAAGCCCACACAUGCCCUCUGCCUUGUGGUCCUUCAGUCUGCGUGCUAAGUUUUCCUAUUCAUCCAAGCCAGGGGAAAUCUGACCGAUAAUGGGAGAAGCACUCGCUACAAGAGGUUUAAACAAGCUGCCGAGAGCACAGAGCACAGAGCACUGCAAAAGCCCACGUUCAGCUCCGGGCAGGGCCCAGUGUGCGGGGAGUCUGAAGAGACUGGCGGCAUCUCUCUCCAAGUGACGCGUGUGAACAUUAAAGACAACAAUGACCUUCAAAACAGUUUGCAUCCCAUCUUUAACCUUCAAAUUGGCAGUCGGUUGGUCUCACACCCGUGCCCUCCUUUUUGCCCUUCUUUCUGCCUCGCCAAGUCACCAACUUCUCUUUUUUUCCAGGUUUUUUUUUUUUUUUUUUUUUUGUGGUCCGUGACUUGGUGCCGAGCCAGACAUAUCUGUGAAUUUGCAUGUUGUGGGGUCACCCCUAGGCUGGCUUCCAAGGCCCAGCAUGGUGACUGACUGUGUGGAAGAAGGCUCCAGGUGACUGACUGUGUGGAAGAAGGCUCCAGGAGACAGCAUCGGACAGGAGAGAUGUGUGGCAAAGUAAGAAACUGGGAUCUUAACUGCUGAUUCAGAUUUUAUUCUCAGGAACAUCUUUCUUCUUCAAGUGAAAGUUUUUCCUUUCAAUCUGUAUGAGCCUUUUUUUUUUUUUUUUUUUCCUGGCUAAGCUGAUUCGGGGCUUCUUAGAGUAUUUUCCAGUGAUCAGUUUGCUUAAGUUUUGAGACAGAGUCUCACACUCUGGUUAAGGCUGACUUGGAGCUCACUAUUCAGGUUAGGCUAGCCUCGAACUCACAAAAGCCCUCCUGCUAGCAUACUCAGUACUUAGAUUACAGUUGUGAGGAGCUGCUGCACCUGACUCCAUUUUAAUCACUAAACAAAUGUGUGGGUUUUAUUUUAUUUUUGAGAUAGGACAUCACAUAGUCCAGGCUAGCCCGGAACCUCUCACCUCUACCUCCCAAGUGCUGGGAUUAUAAAACAAAGAUUUUACCCACUUUGCCUGACUCUGUCUUAUGUAACUCAAACUGGCCUGGAACUCCUGAUAUUCCUCCCCCCACAUUAUUUCAGGUGCUUAGGUUAAAAGGGCCAAGGCACGACCUGGCCCUACAGUCAGCUCUAAUCUCUGAGUCCUCGGUUACUAAGGGAAGCAGUCUAAAGAGCCGUAUUACCCAAGGUUAUAUUAUGCAGGGACCCAUGAUGUACUUAGUCAGACUCAAAUGUUAGUUUUUUUCAAGUAGUCACAGAUUAGGACUGAAGUAUAUAGUAAUGAAAUUAGUUUUCAGACACACUCAGACAGGUUAACAAACAGGCCACUACACUGUUCCUAAUCCGAAAAAGCCUCUUGUGCCCCAGCUGAGGUCCCCUGAGAAUCCUUCAGUUUUACUCUUUGCUGUUUUGUGGUAGAACCCAGUGAGCAGCAGCACAGAGGCUGCAAUGAAGACAGCGGGUGCAUAGCCCCAGUGAGGAGGAGG
rnacentral:sRNA from 1 species